UGACACACAACGUGUUAAAUAUGCGCUUGCCGAAAGUUGACGUUAAUCCUAUAAACAAUCAAGCAAACAGUUUAACCCCUCCCUCUCCCUCUUCAAAUUUCCAGACAUAAAAGCCGGCGGCAAGGCUAGAAGUAAGAACACAAAUCCAUCAGACGAAUACUAAUAAUCGACGAUGAGUAGCCAUCUCUCCUCUUGGUCUCGGCUAGAAGACAAGCAAUUCGAGCAGGCCCUUGUUUUGUUUCCUGAGGAAACGCCAAAACGGUGGGAAAAGAUUUCAAGCUAUGUUCCUGGAAAGAGUUGGCGUGAAGUAAGGAAACAUUACGAGGAUUUGGUUCACGAUGUCUUGGAGAUUGACUCUGGACGAGUUGAGGUGCCCGUUUAUGAUCAGGAUGAGUUGUGGGGCGACUCGACUACGAGUUUUGGUGCUGCUGCGGAGCCUAGAUCAGGAAAGGAGAGAGAGCAUACAGAGAGGAGGAAAGGAACUCCUUGGACAGAAGAAGAGCACAGGCUGUUCUUGAUUGGACUGCAAAAAUAUGGGAAGGGAGAUUGGAGGAGUAUUUCAAGAAAUGCAGUUGUGUCAAGAACACCUACACAGGUGGCCAGUCAUGCCCAGAAGUAUUUUCUUCGUCUAAACUCCGUGAAGAAGGAAAAGAAGAGGUCUAGCAUACAUGACAUUACUGCAACUAAUGCGACCCAUUCAACGGCACAAACCAAUCAUGAUCCAAUUUGGAAUUUUGAGCUGAUGGACCAAUCGGUGGAUGCACUGAGCCGCCCAGCAAACUUUUUCCAUGAUCAAGGAAACCCACCAGCCUAUCAAGGGUUCGGAUUUCCCAUGUGAUUGAAGAACAGGAGUUGGAUAUCUUGUAAACUUGACUUUCUAGUCUAAUCUGAAGCAACCAGCUAGCAAGGUCCAGUAGGGACUAGAGAUAUGAAAAAGGAAAUUAGGGAUUUUUAUUUAGUUUGUGAAACGAGUGGAGACCCCAACCGUGUGUAAGAAGUUUACAAAGAGGGAAAGGGAAAGGGAAGUAAUGUAUGGUUUAAAAUAUUACAAAAAUUGCAGUGCAAAUGUGGGAAGGAUAAAGCACCUCUUACAUUUAGAUUGUACUAGCCUGACGCCAGCAUUUUUUUGGUGCAAAAAUAAUCAUCUUCAUGUAA